GACGAACGCUGGCGGCGUGCUUAACACAUGCAAGUCGAGCGAUGAAACACCUUCGGGUGUGAAUUAGCGGCGAACGGGUGAGGAACACGUGAAGAAUCUGCCUUCAACUCUGGGAUAACUCCGGGAAACCGGGGCUAAUACCGGAUAUGAGCCUUGAUCGCAUGAUCGGGGCUGGAAAGUUUUUCGGUUGAAGAUGACUUCGCGGCCUAUCAGCUUGUUGGUGAGGUAAUGGCUCACCAAGGCGACGACGGGUAGCCGGCCUGAGAGGGCGACCGGCCACACUGGGACUGAGACACGGCCCAGACUCCUACGGGAGGCAGCAGUGGGGAAUAUUGGGGCAAUGGAGGAAACUCUGACCCAGCGACGCCGCGUGAGGGAUGAA
rnacentral:rRNA from 1 species